ACAUACGACCAUAGGGUGUGGAAAACAGGGCUUCCCGUCCGCUCAGCCGUACUUAAGCCACACGCCGGCCGGUUAGUAGUUGGGUGGGUGACCACCAGCGAAUCCCAUCCCGGCUGUUGUAUGUU
rnacentral:rRNA from 1 species